GUCCUCGUAGUAUAACAUAUUACAACGGUCUUGUAAACCGUAAAUGAAAACUCAUCUUCCGAGGACAUUCA